rnacentral:rRNA from 14 species
GCCUGUGGCCACACCACCCUGAGAAUGCCCAGUCUUGUCUGAUCUUGGAAGCUAAGCAGACGGCUUGGUUAGUACUUGGAUGAAAGACUGACUGGGAAUCCUGGGUGCUGUAGGCU